CAGUCGCCGCGGUAAUACGAAGGGUGCAAGCGUUACUCGGAAUUACUGGGCGUAAAGCGUGUGUAGGUGGUUGUUUAAGUCUGUCGUGAAAGCCCUGGGCUCAACCUGGGAAUUGCGAUGGAUACUGGGCGACUAGAGUGCGGUAGAGGAUAGUGGAAUUUCCGGUGUAGCAGUGAAAUGCGUAGAGAUCGGAAGGAACAUCUGUGGCGAAGGCGACUAUCUGGGCCAACACUGACACUGAGACACGAAAGCGUGGGGAGCAAACAGGAUUAGAGACCCGUGUAGUCCCUGUCUCUUAUAC
rnacentral:rRNA from 1 species